GAAUUUUCCGCAAUGGGCGAAAGCCUGACGGAGCAAUACCGCGUGAGGGAGGAAGAUUUUUGGAUUGUAAACCUCUUUUCUCAGGGAAGAAAAAAAUGACGGUACCUGAGGAAUAAGCAUCGGCUAACUCCGUGCCAGCAGCCGCGGUAAUACGGGGGAUGCAAGCGUUAUCCGGAAUUAUUGGGCGUAAAGAGUCCGUAGGUGGUCUUGCAAGUCGACUGUCAAAGCCCGCAGCUUAACUGCGGAGAGGCGGUGGAAACUGUGAGACUAGAGUAUGGUAGGGGUAGAGGGAAUUCCCAGUGUAGCGGUGAAAUGCGUAGAUAUUGGGAAGAACACCGGUGGCGAAAGCGCUCUACUGGACCAUAACUGACACUGAGGGACGAAAGCCAAGGUAGCGAAAGGG
rnacentral:rRNA from 1 species